rnacentral:rRNA from 1 species
GCAUACGGCUCAGUAACACGCGGAUAAUCUGCCUUAGUGGAGGAUAACCUCGGGAAACUGAGAAUAAUACUCCAUAGGUUUGGGAUGCUGGAAUGCUUCUAAGCUGAAAGUUCCGGCGCCUAAGGAUGAGUCUGCGGCCUAUCAGGUUGUAGUGGGUGUAACGGACCCACUAGCCUACGACGGGUACGGGUCAUGAGAGUGAUUGCCCGGAGAUGGGCUCUGAGACACGAGCCCAGGGUCUACGGACCGCAGCAGGCGCGAAAACUUCGCAAUGCGCUCACGCGCGACGAGGGAAUUCCAAGUGCUGUCACAUUGUGGCAGCUGUUUCUCUGCCUAAAAAGCGGAGAGAGUAAGGGCUGGGUAAGACGGGUGCCAGCCGCCGCGGUAAUACCCGCAGCCCGAGUGGUGCUCAUUAUUAUUGAGCCUAAAACGUCCGUAGCCGGUUUGAUAAAUCCUUGGGUAAAUCGAAUCGCUUAACGAUUCGAACGCCGGGGAGACUGUCAAGCUAGGGACUGGGGGAGGUCAGAGGUACUCCAGGGGUAGGGGUAAAAUCCUGUAAUCCUUGGAGGACCACCAGUGGCGAAAGCGUGUGACUAAAACAGAUCCGACGGUGAUGGACGAAGCCGUGGGGCGCAAA